UAUAUACGUAAACAUAAUUUACAAAACGGCCGUACGGAGCGCACACGUCGAAUCCCGGAGGAGAAAGAAAUCGCGAAGGAUAACGUCAUGGCACCCAAAGAAGUUAUUGCAAAGACCGCGGAGCGUUUCUACGGCGAGUAAACAGUUCGAGAGGACGCCGCGCGUCAGGGUCGCGAACAGCGGCGUUCCCGUAGGGCUACAGUGGUGGCGAACCCUUAUCUGCGCUGUGCCCAGAAUGAAAAACAACAGAGGUGCGCCGUAGAAAGAAAAAAAAAAAAUGAACACUCGCGUGCCCGUUUAAAUCAACAAUAUAAUGUGCGUUUAUUACCUAAAGAGUGAAUUUCGUUUUUAAUUUAUAACGAUUUUUUAUCCGUUAUUUGCAUUUGGUUUUCAUACGGAAAUGCGUUAAAUAUCGUAUACGAUUCGAGUUUAAAAAAUGUAUUCUAUUUUCAUAACGAUUCAAUUGUACCGCUGUGAUAUUAUUAACGUUAUUCUGACACAAUAAUUGCGUAAUAUAAUAUUUACGACUUUGGUUAGAUAAUUAAUAACAACGAAAUGUUAUUCCAACGCUAGCGAACCGUUCAAUAACAUUAAAACGUGUGCCGCUAAAGGCACGCGUGCAGCAGGUUGACCGCCCACCUCUGUCAUCACACUAAAUAUUAUAAAAUGCGAUUGGAAAAUCACAGAUAUACUGCGUAUAGUGUUUCAAAUGAACAAAAUCGACAUGGUAUUUUGUUAUCACUGCCCGUUCAUAUCACUCAAUUAUUAUAAUUGAAAAAUUCACAAUUUUCUUACGAUUUACAAUACAUUUUUUUUUUUUAAAUUUGAAUGUUUUAUUUUAAUAAUUUCAAGUUGAUUUUCGUAUAGUUUAAAUCUAUUUCCCUAGAAAACAGUAAAUACCAAUACGAAGGAUAUAAAAUAUCCCACGUAGAUAUAAAUAUAUAACAGUUAGCAUGUUUUAAAAAAAUAAUUAUGAAAACACA